rnacentral:sRNA from 1 species
ACAGAUCUAAUAAUUUAUGUUGCCAACUUGUGCUUGUAUGUUGCUAACUUGUGCUUGGAUGUUGAUCUGUUGAAAGUCAUGCUGUUUUUUUUGUAUUUUGUUUUCUUUCCAUAGUUGUGGUGACAGUACAUGGAGAGAUUGACCCUGCUACGGGAAUGGUUAUGAAUCUGGCUGAUCUCAAAAAAUAUAUGGAGGAGGCGAUUAUGCAGCCCCUUGAUCAUAAGAAUCUGGAUAUGGAUGUGCCAUACUUUGCAGAUGUGGUGAGGUGGGUGGCACUAUAUCUUGCCUUAUAUGGAUUGUAAAACAAGAAUUGCUUUGAAUACUUUGUUGUGUGAUUUCUGAAGUUUUAAUUUAAUGAAAUCUUUCGAAACUAGAAUUUCUAUUCUCUGUAAGUACUAAACAUGAAAUUUUAUUGUUUGCAUUUUG